CGCACUCGCACGAACCAAUUGCGGUGCCCAAGUUUGGCACCGCUUUAUAUUCUGCCUGUGAGUUUGUCCGUUUGUUUGCUUCGCAUCAAUACGUUUCCUUAAUCGCCCAGUAAAAAUUCCUUGCACGUGCUUGCUCAUUUUUGCGGGAAAAUUAAUUAAUCUUGUACUCUCACGGUCGGCUGUUUGCUAGGCUUUAUCACUAGUUUUAUGGGCCAAACAAGGACAACAAUACCACUGUUCGAAUCAGCGUGAAACGUUGUAUUUAUGAAUGGAAAAUUGAUUUCAAAAUUGAUUUCUAUUCUAGCAAUUUAUGGCCUUUGAAAGACAAGCCGCUCACAGAUGUCAAAUGUAUUACUAAGCAACAGUAUUCUAGCGAUUUAUGAAUUAUGAUUAUGGCCUUUGAAAGACAAGCGAAAUUGUAUUGUUCACAAAUCGCUCAAAAUUAUUAAUUAUUAAACUAAUUAAAAACGCAGAACAUUUGAUCCUUGAUAACUUUCGUAUUGUCGGUUUUCUCUUUUUCGGCCGUAUACCAGUGGAUUUGUCUCACUUUUCUCUUUAGUUUGUUAGUAGUUUGAGCCCAAAAUAUUAUAUUUUGAAGGUUUUAAUGUGCAGUUUUAAUAAGCGAAAUUGUAUUGUUGACAAAUCGCUCAAAAUUAUUAAACUAAUUAAAAAU